rnacentral:rRNA from 1 species
AAAGGGUGCGUAGGCGGCUUAUUAAGUCAGGGGUGAAAGACGGUGGCUCAACCAUCGCAGUGCCUUUGAUACUGAUGAGCUUGAAUGAACUAGAGGUAGGCGGAAUGUGACAAGUAGCGGUGAAAUGCAUAGAUAUGUCACAGAACACCGAUUGCGAAGGCAGCUUACUAUGGUUUUAUUGACGCUGAGGCACGAAAGCGUGGGGAUCAAACAGGAUUAGAUACCCGAGU